AUUUAAUUGAUAGAUAUUGGAAUUCUAAUCUACUUUAGAAUUGAUCAAGUUUUUAUUAGGAUUUGAUUUAGGAUUUAGGAUUUGUCUAGGAUUUAUUUAAGGUUUGAUUUAGAAUUUAGGAUUUAUCUAGAGUUUGAUUUAAGAUUUAGGAUUUUAUUAAGAUUUGAUUUAAGGUUUAAGAUUUAUUUAGGAUUUAAUUUAGGAUUUAAGAUUUGUUUAGGAUUUUAUUUAUGAUUUAAAAUUUAUCUAGGAUUUGGUUUAGGAUUUAGGAUUUAUUUAAGGUUUGAUUUAGAAUUUAAAAUUUGUCUAAGAUUUGGUUUAGGAUUUAGGAUUUGUCUUGGACUUGAUUUAAGAUUUAAAAUUUAUCUAGGAUUUAAUUUAGGAUUUAAUUAGGAUUUAAUCUAGAAUUUAGUUAAGAUUCAUUAGAAUUUUAAUUAAGAUUAAAAUAGGAUUUGAUUAAGAUUUAUUUAAGAUUUAUUUAAGUUUUUUCUAAUAUUUUUUUAGAAUUUCUUUUGAAUUUGAUUAAAUCUUAAUUAGUAUUACUAAGUUUUAAUUAGAAUUUAUUUAAGAAUCUAUUAGA
rnacentral:lncRNA from 1 species